rnacentral:rRNA from 1 species
GAGUAACGCAUCGGAACGUACCCGAGUAAUGGGGGAUAACUGUCCGAAAGGACAGCUAAUUCCGCCUACGGCCCUGAGGGGGAAAGCGGGGAUCUUAGGACCUCGCGUUAUUCGAGCGGCCGAUGUCUGAUUAGCUGGUUGGCGGGGUAAAGGCCCAUCCAAGGCGACGAUCAGUAGCGGGUCUGAGAGGAUGAUCCGCCACACUGGGACUGAGACACGGCCCAGACUCCUACGGGAGGCAGCAGUGGGAAUUUUGGACAAUGGGCGCAAGCCUGAUCCAGCCAUGCCGCGUGUCUGAAGAAGGCCUUCGGGUUGUAAAGGACUUUUGUCAGGGAAGAAACUGAGCGUGCCAAUUUCCCUGCUCUG